GGGCUCACUGUGGCAGCACACAUAUCGAAAUUGGGACGAUGCAGAGAGGAUCCGCAUGGCCCCUGUGCAAGGAUGACCCGCCAAUUCAUGAAGUGUUCCAUAUUUUU
rnacentral:snRNA from 1 species